rnacentral:rRNA from 1 species
AUUGAACGCUGGCGGCAGGCCUAACACAUGCAAGUCGAACGAGUGGCGGACGUGUGAGUAAUGUCUGGGAAACUGCCUGAUGGAGGGGGAUAACUACUGGAAACGGUAGCUAAUACCGCAUACCAUCAGAUGUGCCCAGAUGGGAUUAGCUAGUUGGUGGGGUAACGGCUCACCAAGGCGACGAUCCCUAGCUGGUCUGAGCGGAUGACCAGCCCCACUGGAACUGAGACACGGUCCAGACUCCUAAGGGAGGCAGCAGUGGGGAAUAUUGCAAAAUGGGCGCAAGCCUGAGGCAGCAAUGCCGCGUUUAUGAAGAAGGCCUUAGGGUUGUAAAGUACUUUCAGCGAGGAGGCGUUACCCGCAGAAGAAGCACCGGCUAACUCCGUGCCAGCCGCCGCGGUAAUUC